rnacentral:rRNA from 1 species
AGUGAACGCUGGCGGUAGGCCUAACACAUGCAAGUCGAACGGCAGCACAGUAAGAGCUUGCUCUUACGGGUGGCGAGUGGCGGACGGGUGAGGAAUACAUCGGAAUCUACUUUUUCGUGGGGGAUAACGUAGGGAAACUUACGCUAAUACCGCAUACGACCUACGGGUGAAAGCAGGGGAUCUUCGGACCUUGCGCGAUUGAAUAAGCCGAUGUCGGAUUAGCUAGUUGGCGGGGUAAAGGCCCACCAAGGCGACGAUCCGUAGCUGGUCUGAGAGGAUGAUCAGCCACACUGGAACUGAGACACGGUCCAGACUCCUACGGGAGGCAGCAGUGGGGAAUAUUGGACAAUGGGCGCAAGCCUGAUCCAGCCAUACCGCGUGGGUGAAGAAGGCCUUCGGGUUGUAAAGCCCUCUUGUUGGGAAAGAAAAGCAGCAGGUUAAUACCCCGCUGUUCUGACGGUACCCAAAGAAUAAGCACCGGCUAACUUCGU